UACGUAGGGUGCGAGCGUUAAUCGGAAUUACUGGGCGUAAAGCGUGCGCAGGCGGUUUUGUAAGACAGAUGUGAAAUCCCCGGGCUUAACCUGGGAACUGCAUCCGAGACUGGAAGGCUAGAGUACUGGAGAGGGUGGUGGAAUUCCUCGUGUAGCGGUGAAAUGCGUAGAGAUGAGGAGGAACACCAGUGGCGAAGGCGGCCACCUGGACAGUAACUGACGCUGAGGCGCGAAAGCGUGGGUAGCAAACAGG
rnacentral:rRNA from 1 species